rnacentral:rRNA from 1 species
GACGAACCGUACGAACGUUAUUCGGAAUCACUGGGCUUAAAGGGUGCGUAGGCGGCGCGGAAAGUUGGGUGUGAAAUCCCUCGGCUCAACCGAGGAACUGCGCCCAAAACUACCGUGCUCGAGGGAGAUAGAGGUGAGCGGAACUUAGGGUGGAGCGGUGAAAUGCGUUGAUAUCCUAAGGAACACCGGUGGCGAAAGCGGCUCACUGGAUCUCUUCUGACGCUGAGGCACGAAAGCUAGGGUAGCGAACGGG